UGAGGAAGGGGCACACCCCCGAAACGCGUAUGGUACGAACCUUGUACCGGCAUGCUGGAAAAAUCUUCCCUGGAUCUGAACAGACCUCUGAAGUAAAGCCCUGCAAAUACCGCACCUGAUUCUACCAACUGUUACAGACUUACUCAUUGAUCUGG